rnacentral:rRNA from 1 species
GAUGAACGCUGGCGGCGUGCCUAAUACAUGCAAGUCGAGCGAACAGACGAGGAGCUUGCUCCUCUGACGUUAGCGGCGGACGGGUGAGUAACACGUGGAUAACCUACCUAUAAGACUGGGAUAACUUCGGGAAACCGGAGCUAAUACCGGAUAAUAUAUUGAACCGCAUGGUUCAAUAGUGAAAGACGGUUUUGCUGUCACUUAUAGAUGGAUCCGCGCCGCAUUACCUAGUUGGUAAGGUAACGGCUUACCAAGGCAACGAUGCGUAGCCGACCUGAGAGGGUGAUCGGCCACACUGGAACUGAGACACGGUCCAGACUCCUACGGGAGGCAGCAGUAGGGAAUCUUCCGCAAUGGGCGAAAGCCUGACGGAGCAACGCCGCGUGAGUGAUGAAGGUCUUCGGAUCGUAAAACUCUGUUAUUAGGGAAGAACAAAUGUGUAAGUAACUAUGCACGUCUUGACGGUACCUAAUCAGAAAGCCACGGCUAACUACGU